UAUUUCCCGCCGCCGGGUGGGGAGUUCGGGCGUCAGAUUUCAUAUCAUUAGGCCAUUGAAGAUGUGAAAUGCUGGCGUAUUUUUUUU
rnacentral:ncRNA from 1 species